AUUGAACGCUGGCGGCAGGCCUAACACAUGCAAGUCGAGCGGAUGAAGGGAGCUUGCUCCUGGAUUCAGCGGCGGACGGGUGAGUAAUGCCUAUGAAUCUGCCUGGUAGUGGGGGAUAACGUCCUGAAACGGGCGCUAAUACCGCAUACGUCCUGAGGGAGAAAGUGGGGGAUCUUCGGACCUCACGCUAUCAGAUGAGCCUAGGACGGAUUAGCUAGUUGGUGGGGUAAAGGCCUACCAAGGCGACGAUCCGUAACUGGUCUGAGAGGAUGAUCAGUCACACUGGAACUGAGACACGGUCCAGACUCCUACGGGAGGCAGCAGUGGGGAAUAUUGGACAAUGGGCGAAAGCCUGAUCCAGCCAUGCCGCGUGUGUGAAGAAGGUCUUCGGAUUGUAAAGCACUUUAAGUUGGGAGGAAGGGCAGUAAGUUAAUACCUUGCUGUUUUGACGUUACCAACAGAAUAAGCACCGGCUAACUUCGUG
rnacentral:rRNA from 1 species